GCUUAACGCGAAGAACCUUACCAGGGCUUGAAUGCAUUAUGACAGGGGUGGAGACACCUUUUCCUUCGGGCAUUUUGCAAGGUGCUGCAUGGUUGUCGUCAGCUCGUGCCGUGAGGUGUCAGGUUAAGUCCUAUAACGAGCGCAACCCCUACCGCUAGUUGCCAGCGGGUCAUGCCGGGGACUCUAGCGGGACUGCCGGUGCAAACCGUGAGGAAGGUGGGGAUGACGUCAAAUCAUCACGGCCCUUACGUCCUGGGCCACACACGUGCUACAAUGGCCGGUACAGAGAGCGGCCACGCCGCAAGGCGGAGCGAAUCUACAAAGCCGGUCACAGUUCGGAUCGGGGUCUGCAACCCGACCCCGUGAAGCUGGAAUCGCUAGUAAUCGGAUAUCAGCCAUGAUCCGGUGAAUACGUUCCCGGGUCUUGUACACACCG
rnacentral:rRNA from 1 species